UACGUAGGGUGCGAGCGUUAAUCGGAAUUACUGGGCGUAAAGCGUGCGCAGGCGGUUUGUUAAGUCCGCUGUGAAAGCCCCGGGCUCAACCUGGGAAUGGCGGUGGAAACUGGCGAGCUAGAGUGUGUCAGAGGGGGGGUGGAAUUCCACGUGUAGCAGUGAAAUGCGUAGAGAUGUGGAGGAACACCAAUGGCGAAGGCAGCCCCCCUGGGAUAACACUGACGCUCAGGCACGAAAGCGUGGGGAGCAAACAGG
rnacentral:rRNA from 1 species